UACGAAGGGGGCUAGCGUUGCUCGGAUUUACUGGGCGUAAAGGGCGCGUAGGCGGACAGUUAAGUUGGGGGUGAAAGCCCGGGGCUCAACCUCGGAAUUGCCUUCAAUACUGGCUGUCUUGAGUGUGAGAGAGGUGUGUGGAACUCCGAGUGUAGAGGUGAAAUUCGUAGAUAUCUGCAGGAACACCCGUGGCGAAAGCGGCGCGCUGGACCACUACUGACGCUGAGGAGCGAAAGCGUGGGGAGCGAACAGG
rnacentral:rRNA from 1 species